UUUUCGGAGAGUUUGAUCCUGGCUCAGGACGAACGCUGGCGGCGUGCCUAAUACAUGCAAGUCGAGCGGACAGAAAGGAGCUUGCUCCCGGAUGUUAGCGGCGGACGGGUGAGUAACACGUGGGUAACCUGCCUGUAAGACUGGGAUAACUCCGGGAAACCGGAGCUAAUACCGGAUAGUUCCUUGAACCGCAUGGUUCAAGGAUGAAAGACGGUUUCGGCUGUCACUUACAGAUGGACCCGCGGCGCAUUAGCUAGU
rnacentral:rRNA from 1 species